rnacentral:rRNA from 1 species
UACGUAGGGGGCAAGCGUUAAUCGAAAUUACUGGGCGUAAUGCGUGCGCAGGCGGUGAUGAAAGUCCGGUGUGAAAUCCCCGGGCUUAACCUGGGAACUGCAUUUGUGACUGCAUCGCUGGAGUGCGGCAGAGGGGGAUGGAAUUCCGCGUGUAGCAGUGAAAUGCGUAGAUAUGCGGAGGAACACCGAUGGCGAAGGCAAUCCCCUGGGCCUGCACUGACGCUCAUGCACGAAAGCGUGGGGAGCAAACAGG